rnacentral:rRNA from 1 species
UUGAACGCUGGCGGCAUGCCUUACACAUGCAAGUCGAACGGCAGCACGGGAGCUAAUCCUGGUGGCGAGUGGCGAACGGGUGAGUAAUAUAUCGGAACGUGCCCAGUCGUGGGGGAUAACGUAGCGAAAGCUACGCUAAUACCGCAUACGAUCUACGGAUGAAAGCGGGGGAUCGCAAGACCUCGCGCGAUUGGAGCGGCCGAUAUCAGAUUAGGUAGUUGGUGAGGUAAAGGCUCACCAAGCCGACGAUCUGUAGCUGGUCUGAGAGACGACCAGCCACACUGGGACUGAGACACGGCCCAGACUCCUACGGGAGGCAGCAGUGGGAAUUUUGGACAAUGGGCGCAAGCCUGAUCCAGCAAUGCCGCGUGCAGGAUGAAGGCCUUCGGGUUGUAAACUGCUUUUGUACGGAACGAAACGGUGAGCUCUAAUACAGUUUGCUAAUGACGGUACCGUAAGAAUAAGCACCGGCUAACUACGUG